UUUUAAAUAAUUAAUUAAUUAUUUUUGAAUUUAUUUUUAAAUUAAAUAGAUUAAUAUAAGUAAAUUUAGGUUUUAGUAUGAAUUAAAAAUUAAUUAAAUAUUAUAAUAUUUAUUGUAAAGAAAUUGAAAUUAUUAAAGAAUUAGAAGUAAGUUUAAUUUAUUGUACCUUUUGUAUCAGGAGUUAUUAAUAAAUUUGUUAAAAUUUAAUUAAUCUCGAAUUUUAAAGAUUUAAAUUUUUAUUUUAGUUAGUGUUGAAUAAUCAUUAAUAAUAAAAAUUUAGUAGUGAAAUGUUAAUCGAUUUAAAUGAUAUCUAGUUUUUUUAGAAAUGAAUUUAAUUCAAUAUUUAAAUUAUUAUAUAAUUAUUUAUAUAAAUUAGUAUAAUUAUUUAAAUUAAAUUAUUUUAGGGAUAAACUUAAAGUAAAAUUAAUAAUUUGAUUAUUUAUUUAUUAUUUGAGUAUUUAUAAUAAUAGAAAUUUUUAAUAAGUAUUUUAUAAUUUAUAAAUUAUUUAUAGUUAAUUUAAAUUUAAAUUUUAAUUUUUUUAUAAAAAAGAUAUUAUAAUCAAUAAAAUAAAGUUAUAAUGAUAAUAUUAGUAAAAAAUAAUGUUUAAUUAAUUUAUUUGUAUUUAAUUUAAUAUUAAAGAAUUUAACAAAUAUAUUAUUCACCUGUUUAACAAAAACAUGGUUUAUAGAGUAUAAUUAUAAAUCGGUUUCUGCCCAAUGAGAUUAUUUAAUGGCUGCGGUAUAUUGACCGUACAAAGGUAGCAAAAUCAAUAGUUUUUUAAUUGAAAACUGGAAUGAAAGAGCUGAUGAAAUAAUAAUUAUUUCAAUAUUAAUAAUUGAAUUUAAAUUUUAAGUUAAAAUGCUUAAAUUUUUUUAAAAGACGAGAAGACCCUAUAGAAUUUAAUAAAUUUUAAGUAUAAAUUUGUAAAUAUAAAUUAUAUAUUUAUAUUUAAUUAUAUUUAAUUGGGAGGAUUAUAAAAUUUAAUAAACUUUUAUUAUGUAAAAACAUUGAUUAAUGAAUUUUUGAUUAUUUUUAUAAGUAAAAGAAAAAAUUACCUUAGGGAUAACAGCGUAAUAUUUUUGGAGAGAUCAAAUUGAUAAAAAUGUUUGCGACCUCGAUGUUGAAUUAUGAUAUAAUUUAAAUGCAGGAGUUUAAAUUGUUAGUCUGUUCGACUAUUAAAAUCAUACAUGAUUUGAGUUCAGAUCGGUGAAAGCCAGAUCGGUUUCUAUCUUUAAAUAUAUAAUAAUUAUUUUGUACGAAAGGACUAAUAAUUAAAAUAAAAUUUUUUAUAUAAUAGAAUAAAAUUAAUUAUUAUACUUAUUUUAUAUUUUUAAUAUAAUUAUUUAAUAAUUUUAUUAAU
rnacentral:rRNA from 1 species